AACGCAUAUUGCGCCCUCUGGUAUUCCGGAGGGCAUACCUGUUUGAGCGUCAUUUUAAAACCUCAAAAGAAGUUUUUUUUAAUUAAGAUUCUUCGUUUGGUCUUGAGUAGUAUUCUGUUUUACGACGGGAUUCUGUUUGAAAUAUAUUAGUAGAGCAUGCUUAGAGGAAAGUUCGAAAGCAUUAUGAUAAACCUUUUAUUGGUGUAUUAAGAUUUAUUCUAAAUCACUAUAAUGGUAUAUCUAGUUUUAGAUCUUGCAUAUCUUCUAUUGAAAGCUCUUCUGUAAUCUGCUUUUGUUUAUAGAUUUAUCUGUAAGCAAAAUCAAUUUCUAUAUUUUUGACCUCAAAUCAGGCAGGAGUACCCGCUGAACUUAA
rnacentral:misc_RNA from 1 species